rnacentral:lncRNA from 1 species
CGAUUUCUCUCAAAAUCAAGAUUCAAUCUCUAAAUCAAAAUAAAAAAAAAGGAACAAUCUCUUAAAUUGUGAACCCAUUUCUUCUCCUAACUGUUUUAAUCGAUUUCUCCCAAGCAAAAAAGGAACCGAAAUCACCUGUGCAUCCACUGUCCACGCUUGAGGAUUUUCUUCUACAUCAUUUGUUUAAUUGUCUUGACUGGGAUUUCUCCUAACUGUUUUGACUGGGAUUUUCUUCUACACCAUUUAUUUAAUUGUGUGUUGUUUUUUCCUUCUGUUUUCUUGACUGUUACGUGGAGGUAGUGAUAAUUAAAGGCACUACUUAAAUGGGAACCAUGCCUUAGAAAGAAUAAUAUUUUUAGUAGGAAGAUGCUUAGAAAGAUUCAGUAAAUUUACAUUACCUGGUUUUUGUUCUACUCCUGAAAUUCAGUAGCGAUGUCAAUUUUUUUGUUCUUGUUUUACAGCAACUUGUCUUGUGUUGAUAUCUACUUUUUUAUGUGGAAUUUCAGUGAAGGAAAAGAAUUAAACAAGUUAAUACCCAAUGAUCUAUUUUAUCACAUGCAAGGAGAGGAUAAAUGCUUGGACUUCCUGUAGUGCAGCCUGUAGAAGAAGCCCGGUUAAAGCUCCUCAUUGCUCAUAAAGAAAUCAAAUCUGAUCUCAGAUAGGAAAUUGUUGGAAAAGUG